GUGCACCAGGCGAGAAAACUUCACACUGUGCGAAAGCACGAUGAGGGAAUCCCAAGUGCUUGCACGUAAGUGUAAGCUGUUUCUCUGUCUAAAACGCAGAGAGAGUAAGGGCUGGGUAAGACGGGUGCCAGCCGCCGCGGUAAUACCUGCAGCUCAAGUGGUGACCGUUAUUAUUGGGCCUAAAACGUCCGUAGCCGGUUUAAUAAAUGCCUGGGUAAAUCGUGUAGCUUAACUAUACGAAUUCCGGGUAGACUGUUAAACUUGAGACCGGGAGAAGUUAGAGGUACUCCUGGGGUAGAGGUGAAAUUCUGUAAUCCUAGGGGACCACCAGUGGCGAAGGCGUCUAACUAGAACGGGUCUGACGGUGAGGGACGAAGCCCUGGGGCGCAAACGGGAUUAGAUACCCCGGUAGU
rnacentral:rRNA from 1 species